rnacentral:rRNA from 1 species
GGUUAAGUGACUAAGCGUACACGGUGGAUGCCUUGGCAGUCAGAGGCGAUGAAAGACGUAGUAACUUGCGAUAAGCCCAGAUUAGGUAGUAACAACCAUUUGAGUCUGGGAUUUCUGAAUGGGGAAACCCACGUGCAUAAGCACGUAUCCUUACCUGAAUACAUAGGGUAAGGAGGCGAACCGGGGGAACUGAAACAUCUAAGUACCCCGAGGAAAAGAAAUCAACCGAGAUUCCGAAAGUAGCGGCGAGCGAAAUUGGACUAGCCCUUAAGCUUUACACGCGUUAGACGAACGGUCUGGAAAGUCCGACGAUACAGGGUGAUAGUCCCGUAGUUGACGACGUGUGUUCAGUGAAAUCGAGUAGGGCGGGACACGUGAUAUCCUGUCUGAAUAUGGGGGGACCAUCCUCCAAGGCUAAAUACUACUGACUGACCGAUAGUGAACCAGUACCGUGAGGGAAAGGCGAAAAGAACCCCUGUGAGGGGAGUGAAAUAGAACCUGAAACCGUGUACGUACAAGCAGUAGGAGCAGGCUUUGUCCUGUGACUGCGUACCUUUUGUAUAAUGGGUCAGCGACUUAUAUUCAGUGGCAAGGUUAACCAUCUAGGGGAGCCGUAGGGAAACCGAGUCUUAACUGGGCGUUCAGUCUCUGGAUAUAGACCCGAAACCAGGUGAUCUAGCCAUGGGCAGGUUGAAGGUUGAGUAACAUCAACUGGAGGACCGAACCGACUAAUGUUGAAAAAUUAGCGGAUGACUUGUGGCUAGGGGUGAAAGGCCAAUCAAACCUGGAGAUAGCUGGUUCUCCCCGAAAGCUAUUUAGGUAGCGCCUCGGACGAAUACUACUGGGGGUAGAGCACUGUUAAGGCUAGGGGGUCAUCCCGACUUACCAACCCUUUGCAAACUCCGAAUACCAGUAAGUACUAUCCGGGAGACACACGGCGGGUGCUAACGUCCGUCGUGGAGAGGGAAACAACCCAGACCGCCAGCUAAGGUCCCAAAUUACUACUAAGUGGGAAACGAUGUGGGAAGGCUCAGACAGCCAGGAUGUUGGCUUAGAAGCAGCCAUCAUUUAAAGAAAGCGUAAUAGCUCACUGGUCGAGUCGGCCUGCGCGGAAGAUGUAACGGGGCUAAGUAGUAAACCGAAGCUGCGGCAAUGUGCUUUUGCACAUUGGGUAGGGGAGCGUUCUGUAAGCGGUUGAAGGUGUGUGGUAACGCAUGCUGGACGUAUCAGAAGUGCGAAUGCUGACAUGAGUAACGAUAAAGGGGGUGAAAAACCUCCUCGCCGGAAGACCAAGGGUUCCUGUCCAACGUUAAUCGGGGCAGGGUAAGUCGACCCCUAAGGCGAGGCCGAAAGGCGUAGUCGAUGGGAAACGGGUUAAUAUUCCCGUACUUCUUACAAUUGCGAUGGGGGGACGGAGAAGGCUAGGUGGGCCUGGCGACGGUUGUCCAGGUUCAAGUGCGUAGGCUUAAGAGUUAGGUAAAUCCGGCUCUUUUUAAGGCUGAGACACGACGUCGAGCACCUACGGGUGUGAAGUCAUUGAUGCCAUGCUUCCAGGAAAAGCCUCUAAGCUUCAGAUUGUAAGGAAUCGUACCCCAAACCGACACAGGUGGUCGGGUAGAGAAUACCAAGGCGCUUGAGAGAACUCGGGUGAAGGAACUAGGCAAAAUGGUACCGUAACUUCGGGAGAAGGUACGCUCUUGAUGGUGAAGUCCCUUGCGGAUGGAGCUGACGAGAGUCGCAGAUACCAGGUGGCUGCAACUGUUUAUUAAAAACACAGCACUGUGCAAAAUCGUAAGAUGACGUAUACGGUGUGACGCCUGCCCGGUGCCGGAAGGUUAAUUGAUGGGGUUAGACUUCGGUCGAAGCUCUUGAUCGAAGCCCCGGUAAACGGCGGCCGUAACUAUAACGGUCCUAAGGUAGCGAAAUUCCUUGUCGGGUAAGUUCCGACCUGCACGAAUGGCGUAAUGAUGGCCACGCUGUCUCCACCCGAGACUCAGUGAAAUUGAAAUCGCUGUGAAGAUGCAGUGUACCCGCGGCUAGACGGAAAGACCCCGUGAACCUUUACUACAGCUUGGCACUGAACAUUGACCCUACAUGUGUAGGAUAGGUGGGAGGCUUUGAAGCACGUACGCCAGUAUGUGUGGAGCCGUCCUUGAAAUACCACCCUUGUAGUGUUGAUGUUCUAACGUCGACCCCUAAUCGGGGUUGCGGACAGUGCCUGGUGGGUAGUUUGACUGGGGCGGUCUCCUCCCAAAGAGUAACGGAGGAGCACGAAGGUGGGCUAAUCACGGUUGGACAUCGUGAGGUUAGUGCAAUGGCAUAAGCCCGCUUGACUGCGAGAAUGACAAUUCGAGCAGGUGCGAAAGCAGGUCAUAGUGAUCCGGUGGUUCUGAAUGGAAGGGCCAUCGCUCAACGGAUAAAAGGUACUCCGGGGAUAACAGGCUGAUACCGCCCAAGAGUUCAUAUCGACGGCGGUGUUUGGCACCUCGAUGUCGGCUCAUCACAUCCUGGGGCUGAAGUCGGUCCCAAGGGUAUGGCUGUUCGCCAUUUAAAGUGGUACGCGAGCUGGGUUUAGAACGUCGUGAGACAGUUCGGUCCCUAUCUGCCGUGGGCGUUGGAAGAUUGAAGGGGGCUGCUCCUAGUACGAGAGGACCGGAGUGGACGAACCUCUGGUGUUCGGGUUGUGUCGCCAGACGCAUUGCCCGGUAGCUAAGUUCGGAAUCGAUAACCGCUGAAAGCAUCUAAGCGGGAAGCGAGCCCUGAGAUGAGUCUUCCCUGAUACUUUAAGUAUCCUAAAGGGUUGUCGGAGACUACGACGUUGAUAGGUCAGGUGUGUAAGUGCUGUGAGGCAUUGAGCUAACUGAUACUAAUUGCCCGUGAGGCUUAACCAU